rnacentral:sRNA from 1 species
GCCUUGUGCUCUUCUUGCCCCUGGGAGCACUGGGGGCAUCCUGAGUCAGGCUGUGAGCAGAGUCGCCACCAGAGGGUGCCCCGGGCCCUGGGUCGUCCAAGGGGACAAGGAAGUUCCCGUCUGUGCUUCGGGGUUCCCUGACCCCGUCCAUCCUGCGGCCCACCUUCCUGCAGUGUCUCAGCAGGUGACACUGACUCCUAGGCGCCCUCCAGAGCCAGACAGCUUGCGACUUCUGAGUUGCACGGUCAAUUGGCCCAUGAAGGGGACGCCUACUUUCAAACAAGACAGACAGGACACGACAGGACGGCGGCUCAUAGCACAGACUUUGGAGCACAGUGGAUGGGACCAGAUCCUGGCUCCACUUCUGGCUAGCUGUGUGGCCCUGGGCAAGCUGCUUAACUUCUCUGGGCCUCAGUUUCUCCCCCUGUAAACUGGGGGAUGUGAACAGCACCUGCCUCCGAGUCCUAAGGAUUGAGAGUAGUCGUGUAAAGUGCUCAGGUCCACAGGCCAUCAAUACUAAUAGUUAAAAAUUAU